rnacentral:rRNA from 1 species
CUCGCCAGGACUCCGAGCGCAGUAGUAAAACCCUCGCUUUGGACUGUACUGGCGCGGCCCUGCCGUAAAACCCCCAACUUCUGAAAAUUUGACCUCGGAUCAGGUAGGAAUACCCGCUGAACUUAAGCAUAUCAUAAG